rnacentral:rRNA from 1 species
GUAGUCCCGGCUGUAAACGCUGCCCACUUGGUGUUGCCCUUUCCUUGGGAAGGGGCAGUGCCGGAGCGAAGGUGUUAAGUGGGCUGCUUGGGGAGUAUGGUCGCAAGGCUGAAACUUAAAGGAAUUGGCGGGAGAGCACCGCAACGGGAGGAGCGUGCGGUUUAAUUGGAUUCAACGCCGGAAAACUCACCAGGGGAGACCAUGGUAUGAGUGUCAGCCUGAAGAGCUUACACGAUCACAUGGAGAGGUGGUGCAUGGCCGUCGUCAGCUCGUACCGUAGAGCGUUCACUUAAGUGUGAUAACGAGCGAGACCCUUGCCCAUAUUUGCCACCUUCCUCGAGAGAGGAAGAGCACUAUAUGGGGACCGCUAGCGUUAAGCUAGAGGAAGGAGAGGUCAACGGCAGGUCAGUAUGCCCCGAAUCCCCUGGGCAACACGCGCGCUACAAAGGACGGAACAAUGGGUUGCAACUUCGAAAGGAGGAGCUAAUCCCGAAAUCCGUCCGUAGUUCAGACUGAGGGCUGUAAUUCGCCCUCACGAAGCUGGAUUCCGUAGUAAUCGCGGAUCAACAGUCCGCGGUGAAUAUGCCCCUGCUCUUUGCACACACCGCCUGUCAAGCCAUCCGAGUUGGUUUUGGAUGAGGGCCCACUUUUUGGUGGGUUCGAAUCCAAGAUCGAUGAGGAGGGCUAAGUCAUAACAAGGUAUCCGUAGGGGAACCUGCGGCUGGAUCACCUCC